rnacentral:rRNA from 1 species
UAUAAAAGGUUAAAGUCCUGUUAAAAUUAGAGAUUAUUAAAUUAAGUAGGACGUGAUCCGUUUAUCAUGUGUGAAGAUUGGGGGACCACCCUCAAAGCCUAAAAUAUAUCUUUUACCGAUAGUGAACUAGUACUGUGAAGGAAAGGAUUUGAAACUGCAAGUUAACAAGCUGUCGAAACUUUUAAUUUAGUAACGGCGUACCUUUUGUAUAAUGGGUCAGCUAGUUA